AAGUCGUAACAAGGUUUCCGUAGGUGAACCUGCGGAAGGAUCAUUAUCAAAAGUCAAGUCGGGGGCUGUAAAGCUCUCGUCCACACCCAUGUCUUUUGCGUACUCUUGUUUCCUCGGUGGCGCAAGCUGCCGAUUGGACAAACCAAAACCUUUUUUGUAAUUGCAAUCAGCGUCUGAAAAUAAUCUAAUUAUUUACAACUUUCAACAACGGAUCUCUUGGUUCUG
rnacentral:misc_RNA from 1 species